rnacentral:lncRNA from 1 species
AUGUCCAUCCAGGUUCUGUUUAAAAGCUUCCAAGGAGUUUUGGCCCUCCCUCCUGUUGUUUUGGACAAGGGCGGAAGUCGUCCUUUGCAGAGGACGGAGGGCAUCUGUGGGCCCCUUCCAGGCCAGGACCAUGGAGAGGGGGAGGGCUCUUCUGACAGCUUCCUACUCUCUUUCCUUCCUUCCUUCCCUUUGCAUGUACUUUCUGUCUUAGCUCCCUUCUCUUUGCAUCAAGUUUUCUCUGUGCCUUGCUGUGCCUUCUGUGCACCUUGCUUUCUCUCUUUGCUCUUUUCCCUUUGCGUCUGCUUUCUGUGCAUCUUGCUUUCUCCCCUUUGCAUGUGCAUCCUUUGCACCUUGAUUUGUCUUUGCUCCCUUCUCUUUGCAUCUGUUUUCUCUGUGCCUUGCUUUCUCCCUUCCUUUUGCAUGUGUUUACUGUGCCCCUUGCUUUGCAUGUAUUUUCUCUGCACCUUGCUUUCUGUCUUUGCUCCCUUCUUUUUGCAUCUGUUUUCUCUGUGCCUUGCUUUCUCCCUUCCUUUUGCAUGUGUUUUCUGCGCCCCUUGCUUUGCAUGCAUUUUCUCUGCACCUUGCUUUCUCUCUCUGCCCAAUAUCUACUCUCUUCCCUUCCUUCCCUUUGCAUGUGCAUCAAUUAGUACCUUGGGUUCUGUCUUUGCUCCCUUCUUUUU